rnacentral:rRNA from 1 species
CCGGCUAACUACGUGCCAGCAGCCGCGGUAAUACGUAGGUGGCAGCGUUGUCCGGAUUUAUUGGGCGUAAAGCGAGUGCAGGCGGUUCAAUAAGUCUGAUGUGAAAGCCUUCGGCUCAACCGGAGAAUUGCAUCAGAAACUGUUGAACUUGAGUGCAGAAGAGGAGAGUGGAACUCCAUGUGUAGCGGUGGAAUGCGUAGAUAUAUGGAAGAACACCAGUGGCGAAGGCGGCUCUCUGGUCUGCAACUGACGCUGAGGCUCGAAAGCAUGGGUAGCGAACAGGAUUAGAUACCCUGGUAGUCCAUGCCGUAAACAAUGAGUGCUAAGUGUUGGGAGGUUUCCGCCUCUCAGUGCUGCGCUAACCGCAUUAGCACUCCGCCUGGGGGAGUACGACCGCAAGGUUGAAACUCAAAGGAAUUGACGGGGGCCCGCACAAGCGGUGGAGCAUGUGGUUUAAUUC